UUUUCCUUGCUGGACCUGUAGAAGCUCUCCUUGGAAUAAGACGUCAUAGAGGGUGAAAAUCCCGUACUUGAUGUGGCCGCCCAGUGCUUUGUGAUACACUUUCCAUGAGUCGAGUUGUUUGGGAAUGCAGCUCAAAAUGGGUGGUAAAUUCCAUCUAAAGCUAAAUAUUGGGGAGAGACCGAUAGCGAACAAGUACCGUGAGGGAAAGAUGAAAAGCACUUUGGAAAGAGAGUUAAAUAGUACGUGAAAUUGUCGAAAGGGAAGCGCUUGAAGUUAGACAUGCUAGUUGGAAUUCAGCCUUGCUUUUGCUUGGUGCAUUUUCCGGUUAGCAGGCCAGCAUCAGUUUUGCCUGUCGGAAAGGGUAGGAGGAAUGUGGCCCCUCGGGGUGUUUAGCCUCUUACUGGAUACGACGGGUGGGACUGAGGACAGCAGUGCGCCUUUAUGGCGGGCCUUCGGGCACCUUCGCACUUAGGAUGCUGGCGUAAUGGCUUUAAGCGACC
rnacentral:rRNA from 1 species